AAAUUUGCUCGACAUUGUCUGUUGUGGCACCAUUUUUUUUUCUGUUCUUAUCAGCUUAAUAUCUGAUACGACGUCGACAUGACGUCAAGAUAUUAAACUAAUUUUUGCAGAUAGGCUUGUGGUUAGGAAUUUAUUCCGCCCUCGCCACGGGUUGGCCUGCUAUGGCACUACUUGCAGGAUACGGCCCACAAUAU